rnacentral:misc_RNA from 1 species
AACUUUCGGCAACGGAUCACGUGACGCUAAAACUUUUGGCAACGGAUCUCGUGACGCUAAAACUUUUGACAAUGGAUCACUUGGUUCUGGCAUCGAUGAAGAACGCAGCGAAAUGCGAUAAGUAAUGUGAAUUGCAGAAUUCAGUGAAUCAUCGAAUCUUUGAACGCACAUUGCGCCCCUUGGUAUUCCGAGGGGCAUGCCUGUUCGAGCGUCAUUUAAACCAAAUCCAGCUUGCUGGGUCUUGGGCUUUCGCCUCUGGGCGGGCCUCAAAAUCAGUGGCGGUGCUGCCAGGCUCUAAGCGUAGUAAUUCUUCUCGCUACAGGGUCCUGGUGGAGGCUUGCCAAUAACCCCAAAUAUUUUAAAGGUUGACCUCGGAUCAGGUAGGGAUACCCGCUGAACUUAAGCAUAUCAAUAAGCGGAGGCU